rnacentral:tmRNA from 1 species
GGGGAUGAUCGGCAUAGACAAAAGAAACGAGUUGUCUUGGGCAACGUGGAGCUCCAGUAACUCCUAAAACGGCUGGAAACUAUAACUGCCAAAAAUGCAGUAGCGCGAGUUUCUCCGUACUUCGGUGCGAAGGACUUUGCGUUUGUGUACGCUUAAAAACCGCACACUGUUCAACCAAUUGACUUCCGAUACAUUGGCUUGGGCAUAAUAAUCUCGGGAUAGGAUGUGUUACCGUUCUGGAACACGUCCGAAUCGCCUCACGGCGGGAACAGAACUAUACUCAUGUGUUUUUUGUUGGCCUUGAGCCCAUGAGCCGAAAAAAUCAGACCAACUAGAUGUUGUAGAACAAUUCACCUCUUUCUCUUGCACGCGAGUUCGAUUCUCGCCAUCUCCAAAA